rnacentral:rRNA from 1 species
GCAUAUCAAUAAGCGGAGGAAAAGAAACCAACAGGGAUUGCCCCAGUAACGGCGAGUGAAGCGGCAACAGCUCAAAUUUGAAAUCUGGCCCUCGGGUCCGAAUUGUAAUUUGUAGAGGAUACUUUUGGCGAGGUGCCUUCCGAGUUCCCUGGAACGGGACGCCAUAGAGGGUGAGAGCCCCGUCUGGUCGGAUACCAAGCCUCUGUAAAGUUCCUUCGACGAGUCGAGUAGUUUGGGAAUGCUGCUCAAAAUGGGAGGUAUAUGUCCUUCUAAAGCUAAAUAUUGGCCAGAGACCGAUAGCGCACAAGUAGAGUGAUCGAAAGAUGAAAAGCACUUUGAAAAGAGGGUUAAAAAGUACGUGAAAUUGUUGAAAGGGAAGCGCCUAUGACCAGACUUGGGCCCGGUGAAUCAUCCAGCGUUCUCGCUGGUGCACUUUGCCGGGCACAGGCCAGCAUCAGUUUGGCGCGGGGGAUAAAGGCUUUGGGAAUGUGGCUCCCUCGGGAGUGUUAUAGCCCAUUGCGUAAUACCCUGCGCCGGACUGAGGUACGCGCAUUGCAAGGAUGCUGGCGUAAUGGUCAUCAGCGACCCGUCUUGAAACACGGACCAAGGAGUCGUCUUCGUAUGCGAGUGUUCGGGUGUCAAACCCCUACGCGUAAUGAAAGUGAACGCAGGUGAGAGCUUCGGCGCAUCAUCGACCGAUCCUGAUGUUCUCGGAUGGAUUUGAGUAAGAGCAUACGGGGCCGGACCCGAAAGAAGGUGAACUAUGCCUGUAUAGGGUGAAGCCAGAGGAAACUCUGGUGGAGGCUCGCAGCGGUUCUGACGUGCGAAUCGAUCGUCAAAUAUGGGCAUGGGGGGCGAAAGACUAAUCGAAACCUUUCUAGUAGCUGGGUUUCCGCCGAAG